GAUGAAGAACGCAGCAAAAUGCGAUAAGUAAUGUGAAUUGCAGAAUUUAGUGAAUCAUCGAAUCUUUGAACGCACAUUGCGCCCCUUGGUAUUCCGAGGGGCAUGCCUGUUCGAGCGUCAUUAUAACCCCUCAAGCUCAGCUUGGUAUUGGGGCCUGCCAUCCUGGCAGCCCUUAAAAUCAGUGGCGGUGCCAUCCGGCUCUAAGCGUAGUAACUCUUCUCGCUAUGGAGUCCUGGUGGAUGCUUGCCAUUAAUCUUUUAACUUCUAUGGUUGACCUCGGAUCAGGUAGGGAUACCCGCUGAACUUAAGCAUAUCAAUAAGCGGAGGA
rnacentral:misc_RNA from 1 species